rnacentral:sRNA from 1 species
AUGUUUGCAGGGGUCCAGAAGAAGAUUUCCUGUGAGAUCUUUUCCAAUCACUUCAAGGACAAUAAGGUGGAGAUAGCAAAUGCAAUAACAAAGUCAUUUCCUUUUCUUGAAAGCCUCAGAGACAAUUCCUUUAUCACUGAAAAAAUGUAUACUUAUUCUCAAGAAGCCUGUAUAAACUUGAUUCCUCUACAGAGAGUUGUGUACCAGGUUCUCUGCCACCUGGAGAAGGUGUUUGAUUGUUCAGUUCUGUCAGUCCUGUUCAGCAGGAUUAACCUGAAGGAGUAUCCUGAUUUAAUUGAGAUUCAUAAAAGC